UAAGACGUAGGGAGCGAGCGUUGUCCGGAUUCAUUGGGCGUAAAGAGCGCGCAGGCGGUUUGGUAAGUCGGAUGUGAAAGCCCGGGGCUCAACCCCGGACCUGCAUCCGAUACUGCCCGACUAGAGGUAGGUAGGGGAGAUCGGAAUUCCUGGUGUAGCGGUGAAAUGCGCAGAUAUCAGGAGGAACACCGGUGGCGAAGGCGGAUCUCUGGGCCUUACCUGACGCUCAGGCGCGAAAGCUAGGGGAGCGAACAGGAUUAGAUACCC
rnacentral:rRNA from 1 species